rnacentral:rRNA from 1 species
CCAGACUCCUACGGGAGGCAGCAGUGAGGAAUAUUGGUCAAUGGCCGGAAGGCUGAACCAGCCAAGUCGCGUGAGGGAAUAAGGCCCUAUGGGUCGUAAACCUCUUUUGUCAGGGAGCAACGCCGGCUACGUGUAGCCGGACUGAGAGUACCUGAAGAAAAAGCAUCGGCUAACUCCGUGCCAGCAGCCGCGGUAAUACGGAGGAUGCGAGCGUUAUCCGGAUUUAUUGGGUUUAAAGGGUGCGUAGGCGGAAUGCCAAGUCAGCGGUAAAAUCGGGGGGCUCAACCUCGCUCCGCCGUUGAAACUGGCGUUCUUGAGUGGGCGAGAAGUAUGCGGAAUGCGUGGUGUAGCGGUGAAAUGCAUAGAUAUCACGCAGAACCCCGAUUGCGAAGGCAGCCUUCCGGCGCCCUACCGACGCUGAGGCACGAAAGUGCGGGGAUCGAACAGGAUUAGAUACCCCAGUAC